CAUAUAUGUAUGUGCUUUCGUAGCUUUCAAGUGAAAAAUUAAAUUGUAAUGUAUCGAAGUAUAAGUUACUGUAUCAUUAUUGUAUAAUGAUUUGAUACCGACUUGGUAUUAUUCGUUCCUUAAUUUAUCUAUGUAUUGUGUAUGCCGUGUGGUACACAACUGAGGAGACAUUUGUGAGAAACUGUAAAUAUUAAGUAAGAUCGUGUGGACACAGGGUUUGUCACCUGAACAUGUAUUGUACUGUUAUUGGGUACUAGAUUCUAUAAUUGUUACAUUAUUUCAAUUUCACAUUUAUACGGGGUUAUAUCCUUUGCAACAUUGUUGUAAUAUGUAUGUACUAUGUAUAUAUAAUUUUGUAUGAGAUCCUGUAGAGCACCAUUUACUGGUGGAAUAGAGCCUAGAAAACAAAACAAAACAAUAAACAAUAAAAAACAAUUAAUAUGAAUUUGUGGCGCUGGUGCGCAUGUCGGGCGUCUUUCGUCUGCCCGGGAAGUUGUAUUUUGGGGAGCGGGAGUCCGGGACUGCAGGUGGCUCACUGACUGUCCGCCCAGCCACCGGCUCAUCACCUGGACCCUGCUCUUGUUUAGUGCUUGACUGGCCAGGGAUCCCUACACGAGUGCUGUUACUACUUGCUGAUGCCUGAUGGGCUUUGUGUGACCAAGUUGAUCUACGGAUGCAGGGCCAGGGAGCUGUUGUGACAUUGCUGGUUACCACUCGCCUGAGGGCAUAGGCUGAGGCUGGGGGCACGUGGCACUGUCUGUCCGCCCGGCCACCGGCUCACCGCCUGGACCCUGCUCUUGUUUAGUGCUUGACUGGCCAGGGAUCCCUACACGAGUGCUGUUACUACUUGCUGAUGCCUGAUGGGUUUUAUGUGACCAAGUUGAUCUAUGGAUGCAGGGCCAGGGAGCUGUUGUGACGUCACCGGUUACCACUCUCCCAAGGGUAUAGGCUGACACUGAGUAAUUUGCGUGAUAAUACAUUAUUAUUUACAUCUGUAUGAUUGAUUGUUCAAUAAAUCGGAGUUCUAACCUAUUCUAAAAUCCAUGUACCCUAAGUUGAGUCAUGGGAAUGUGUUAUUGCCAGUCAUGUUUAUCACUUGGCUCAUUAAGGAUAGUUAAUCACGGAGGACGUCCUCCCACAGGUAUAAUGACAAGUCUGAAGGUAAAUGGUGAGUGUUGUAGGUGGCAUUUGGUAUUUGGUAAAUUUACAUGGUGAAAUUCUGCUAUAUAUUGCCCAUUGAUGCUUGUUGGGAUAACUUGCAGCUAAUGUGUUAUUAUAUUUAGUUGACAUAUAUUUGUGGAUCAUUUGGUAUUUGGUAAAUUUACUUGGUGAAAUUCUGCUACAUAUUGCCCAUUGAUGGUUGUUGGGAUGACUUGCAGCUAAUGUGUUAUAUUUAUUUGACAUAUAUUUGUAUAUUAUUGGUAUAUACCUGUGCAGGGCGAUGUAUUACUGAUUGUGGUGAGUGAUGUUAAGUGAUUGUGUUGGAUUGCCUUGGCUGAUGGUGUUGACUGAUGAGCUAACUGUGUUGUGCAAUGCAUUGACUAUAUCAAUCUCCCUAGGUUGAAUACAAUUUCUGCAAUAAAGAACCAAGUAUACAGUGGGCCUUUCCUACCCCCACGGACAAGACAAUUCAACAGUGAAGAGCCGUGGAGAAACUGGUCAAGGAACAUGUAACCGCAAAGCGAACCUUCAUGAGGAAGGCCAACGUCCUGAAGACCAGGAUCUGCAGUGGAGACCAGUCACCAUACUGCAAGAUCUUCGGACUCAACUCAACGCCGCAUUUGGCUUUUGGACAUCCAGCAUCACACGCUUUCAGAGACACUUGUGGCAAUGCAGACGGACAGGUUGAGGAUGGAGGAUACCGUAACAUUUACAGCACAAAAUGGUGUAAAGUUUCUUUUUUGUGAAAGGUGUAGGUAGUGCGGACAGCUUCAAACAUAGGAAUGUGUCAUUAUAUUCAUGGAUUUUAUGCCGAUAUUGUGGUCGCCUUUGUGUGCAUCAAUUAAUUCAGUUUGACAUACAUGUAUAUUUGACUAGGAAUAACAGUUUGUUGAAUUUAUAAGUGAUGAAUUUAUAAUUCAUUAAGGUUAAUUAUAAAUGAUGUAUUAUGAAGAUUGUUCAAAAUGUUCCUAGCAUAGCCUGUGUUUAUUACUAUCAUCUAGUCCAGUCAGUCUCUGUUUUUAACAUUCAUCAUGGUGUUUCGAGGGACAGCAUAUUUGUAUAAAAAUUGUAUUGACUUGAAAUGUAUUCCCAAGACAUUGAAAAGCCAUGGUAAAUGCUUUAAGAAGAAAACAUGUUAAGUUGAAAAUUUCCCGUAGACUUUUGUGAAGAAAUUUCACAUGAUUUUUGAAAUUGUUAAGUUGAAAGUUCCCCUAGGCUUUUAUCAAGAUACUGAAAUUGUAUAGUAAAAGUCAAGGUGCUUAAAUUCUUGAAAGGUGCUUAUUUCAGAAUAAUGUAUAAGUUCCCCUAGACUUAUCAGGAUUUUUUAAUUUAUCUAAAAACAAGUUGAAAAGUUUCCCCUAGACCUUUUGUCAGGAAUGCCUCAAAAUUGUGCUGUACAAGUGCGCAGUACUCAGAUAAUGUAAUAAAUUUUCUGUGUUGAAUAAAAGUGAAGUUAGGGAG
rnacentral:misc_RNA from 1 species